rnacentral:rRNA from 1 species
UACAGAGGAGCCAAGCGUUGUCCGGAUUGACUGGGCGUAAAGCGCACGCAGGCGGAGUGGCGCGUGGGGUGUGAAAGCUGGUGGCUUAACUGCCAGUCGCCAUCCCAUACAGCCACUCUGGAGCCUUGCAGAGGGCAGUGGAAUUGCCGGUGUAGUGGUGAAAUGCGCAGAUAUCAGGAGGAACACCGGUGGCGAAGGCGGUUCUCUGGGCAUUACCUGACGCUGAGGAGCGAAAGUGUGGGGAGCGAACAGG